AGAUAAAUGGAAAUGGGUAAUAAAAAUCUCCAUUCCUAUAGGCCAAAAAUCAUGCCCAAUGGGCUUCAAGGAGGCUGUCUAAAGUCUUAUUAGGAAUUAGGAUUACUCUUUUGAGGGCAUUCGAACUUUGAAGACUAGAAUCAGCAAGUUUAGAUUUUUUACUAUGGUUUUGGUAAAAAAUUUGUAUGAUUUGGAGUUUAUAUGAAAGAGAUAUGGAUAUUCAAAGUUAAGGUGUUGAUUUUGUAUCUAUUGUCACUCUUUUAGACAUAAUAUAAUAAAGGAUUGGCAACCAAGAUUAAAGAGAGUACUUUUUGAGCUAUAUUUUUAGUAUAUUGUUUGAUGGAUUCUAAGUUGGGAUGAAGGAGAUAUUGGAGGUUGAAGUCAAUACUUAUAAAUCUAAAGGUUGUAAGUGACUGUCAUGGACAUACACAUGUAAGCUAGUAAUUAUUUGUAUAAAUAAGUAGAAGUAAGUAGAAGUAAGUAGAAGUAGAUAAAAGUAAAUUAAUUCUAUAAUAUCUUCUAUAGAAGCUCCCCAGAACCUUCAUAGAUGUUGUUUUGACUUUAUAGGUAUCU
rnacentral:lncRNA from 1 species